rnacentral:rRNA from 1 species
UACGUAGGCAGCGAGCGUUGUUCGGAGUUACUGGGCGUAAAGAGUGCGUAGGCGGUUUUCUAAGUUUGGUGUGAAAUCUCCCGGCUUAACUGUGAGGGUGCCAUUGAUACUGAUGGACUUGAGUGAAGUCGAAGUAGGCGGAAUUGACGGUGUAGCGGUGAAAUGCUUAGAUAUCGUCAAGAACACCGAUAGUGAAGACAGCUUACUAGGCUUAUACUGACGCUGAGGCACGAAAGUGUGGGGAUCAAACAGG